GCUUAAUUAACUCAAUUGGCAGAGUGAUCAUUUUGUAAAUGGUAAGCUAGAUGUUCAAAUCAUCUAUUGAGCA
rnacentral:tRNA from 1 species